CGGACGGGUGAGUAAUGUCUGGGAAACUGCCUGAUGGAGGGGGAUAACUACUGGAAACGGUAGCUAAUACCGCAUAACGCCGCAAGACCAAAGAGGGGGACCUUCGGGCCUCUUGCCAUCGGAUGUGCCCAGAUGGGAUUAGCUAGUAGGUGGGGUAACGGCUCACCUAGGCGACGAUCCCUAGCUGGUCUGAGAGGAUGACCAGCCACACUGGAACUGAGACACGGUCCAG
rnacentral:rRNA from 1 species